CAGAGUUUACAAACUCCCUAAACCAUUGUGAACCUACCUCUACCUGUUGCCUUCGGCGGAUCAGGCCCAGCUCCCCCGGUACCCCCCGGGACGGCCCGCCAGGAGGACCCUAAACUCUGUUACAUUAUUGGAACUCUCUGAGUAUUCUUAACAUGAAUAAGUCA
rnacentral:misc_RNA from 1 species